AGGAAAUAUGCUAUCAGGUGGAUGGCUCGGCUCAAGAGCUGAUGAAGGACGUGCCAAGCUGCGAUAAG
rnacentral:rRNA from 1 species